AACGAACGCUGGCGGCGCGCCUAACACAUGCAAGUCGAACGAGAAGGCGUAGCAAUACGCUUGUAGAGUGGCGAACGGGUGAGUAAUACGUGGGUGACCUACCCUCGAGUGGGGAAUAACCCGCCGAAAGGCGGGCUAAUGCCGCGUACGCUUCCGUCCUCACGGGGACGGAAGGAAAGCUGGUACCGUGGGUACGGCGCUCAAGGAUGGGCUCACGUCCUAUCAGCUUGUGGUAGGUAACGGCCUACCAAGGCUACGACGGGUAGCUGGUCUGAGAGGACGAUCAGCCACACUGGCACUGCGACACGGGCCAGACUCCUACGGGAGGCAGCAGUGAGGAAUAUUGCGCAAUGGGCGAAAGCCUGACGCAGCGACGCCGCGUGGGGAUGAA
rnacentral:rRNA from 1 species